CCUACGGGGGGCAGCAGUGGGGAAUAUUGGACAAUGGGCGAAAGCCUGAUCCAGCCAUGCCGCGUGUGUGAAGAAGGCCUUCGGGUUGUAAAGCACUUUCAGUGGGGAAGAAAGCCUUGGGGCUAAUACCCUGGAGGAAGGACAUCACCCACAGAAGAAGCACCGGCUAACUCCGUGCCAGCAGCCGCGGUAAUACGGAGGGUGCGAGCGUUAAUCGGAAUUACUGGGCGUAAAGCGCGCGUAGGCGGUCUGAUAAGCCGGUUGUGAAAGCCCCGGGCUCAACCUGGGAACGGCAUCCGGAACUGUCAGGCUAGAGUGCAGGAGAGGAAGGUAGAAUUCCCGGUGUAGCGGUGAAAUGCGUAGAGAUCGGGAGGAAUACCAGUGGCGAAGGCGGUCUUCUGGACUGACACUGACGCUGAGGUGCGAAAGCGUGGGUAGCAAACAGGAUUAGAUACCCCAGUAGUC
rnacentral:rRNA from 1 species